rnacentral:misc_RNA from 1 species
CCGAAUUGUCAACAAGAGUUGUUGCUGGUCCCCGUNCGGGGGCAUGUGCACACUUUGUUUACACAUCCACUCACACCUGUGCACCCUCCGUAGUUCUAUGGCCUGGGUGGGCUCUGUCCUCCCGGCGUGGUUCUAUGUCUUUACACACACACUACAACAAAGUCUUAUGGAAUGUAUGUCGCGUUUAACGCAAUGAAACAC